UACAGAGGGUGCGAGCGUUAAUCGGAAUUACUGGGCGUAAAGCGUGCGUAGACGGCUAUCUAAGUCGGGUGUGAAAUCCCUGGGCUCAACCCAGGAACUGCGUCCGAUACUGGUUGGCUUGAAUCCGGGAGAGGGAUGCGGAAUUCCAGGUGUAGCGGUGAAAUGCGUAGAUAUCUGGAGGAACACCGGUGGCGAAGGCGGCAUCCUGGACCGGCAUUGACGCUGAGGCGCGAAAGCCAGGGGAGCAAACAGG
rnacentral:rRNA from 1 species